UACGUAGGGUCCGAGCGUUGUCCGGAAUUAUUGGGCGUAAAGGUCUCGUAGGCGGUUUGUCGCGUCGGGAGUGAAAACACGGGGCUUAACCCCGUGCCUGCUUCCGAUACGGGCAGACUAGAGGUAUGCAGGGGAGAACGGAAUUCCUGGUGUAGCGGUGAAAUGCGCAGAUAUCAGGAGGAACACCGGUGGCGAAGGCGGUUCUCUGGGCAUUACCUGACGCUGAGGAGCGAAAGUGUGGGGAGCGAACAGG
rnacentral:rRNA from 1 species